AGCCGUAUUUCCGCGGGCGCUGAGCACUAGAGAGAGCGUCUUGUGGCUGCGGCCUGCCCCUCAGCCUCCUCCGCGCGGUUACCCCUGUACCCGCCGCCAUCCGUCCUGGCGCUCCGGAUGAGUCAAUGAGGGGCAGGGCCCGAGGAGUGGUCUUCCCAAGAACCCCUGGUGGCCUCCCAAGGCCGGUGCUGUGUACCUCCUCCCCGACAAAAGGGGAAACUGAGGCCCCGAGGGGAGUGGGAAGAGCCGGCUGGACGUCAGGCCCAGCCGCUGGUGCAGUGGUCCGUCCCCUCUGCCGGGGUGGGCCCCUCGGGUUUCGCGUGUCCUCGGGAAAGAGACUGGCGGGCCUCGUGGGCUGUGCGGCUAUCCUGGAGACAGAUGACAGCUCUCCCUUGGAUGGCUUUGCUGGUUCCGCACCAGCCAGCGCCCCCAUUUUUCCUGCAGCACCCUGAUCUGCACUCCCUGAGGGGCUCCCACUGUCCGCGGUGUGAGGAUGUCCCUGGUCCACUGUGUGCAGAGGCAUGGGAGUUGUCAUGUUGGGAACAUGCUAGACCUCAGUAUCCUUGAGCUUGAAGAAAGACGACAGAACACUGGAGACCAAGUACUUACAGCCUUCUGCUCUGUGGCCCCUCCUCACUCCAGGGAUGCUGCCUUGGGUCUGGAAACUGUUAGAGGAAACCCCAAGAGGUGCAGGCACUGAGCCUCUCAGGACAAUGACCUGGGGUCCCAGCUCCCCUGGAGGGGCCUCCUCAUGAUUGUUUGGGGGUUGAUCACAGACCAAGAGUGACGAGUGAUGUCACCCUGUGACUCAUGGCUGGACCUUCUUGCCCCUAUUGUCUCAGCACAACAUUAUUCGACUUUUCCCUCAGCGUGGGUGGGCAGAGGAAAAGCCCUGUGGCUCUGGGGACUUGGGAUCCAGAGUUGAAGACCCUUCAGCUGGCUCUGCCCUGCCAGUGCCACAGAGUGCCAUGGCCCAGGAAGACAGGUUUUCUUCCAUCUAGGCCAGGCCAUCCAGUGGCCAUCCUCCGUGUCCUCCCGCCUCCUCCUGGUGUGACUUCUGAAAACCAAGAAUUUGUUCCUGUUGACUUUUUCUGUGCUAUGGACCAUUGUCCUCUCACCCACUCAAUAAAUCUUGAAACAUGC
rnacentral:lncRNA from 10 species